CCCAUAACAGGCAGAAACACACAAUGAGCUUCAGGAGGUGGCACUUGAAUAGAGUUGCGUGAGAGGUGAAGACACUUUCAGAGACUCAGAACACAAAUGUCCUUAUAAAGGAAAAAGAGAAGGAGGAGAGUCAGAGAAGAUGUGAAACCAGAAGUGAAGAGAGAGAAACGAGGAGUGAGGAAUGAUAAAAUAUUGAGAUAUUGAAGAAGAGAGCACACGCCAAAACUGCAGCUUCUGGCAGACACAAUAGGAAUGGAAAUAGAUUCUUCCCUAAAAUAUGCAGAAGAAAUACAGCUCUACCAGCAUCUUGAUAUUAGCCCACAAGAUUCACUUUGGACUUGACUUCCAUAACUGCUUCCUCUGGGAUCAAACUUCUGCAAAUAAGUGGAAAAUUCCAAGUAGGUGAAUGAAUAUCAGAGUAUGUUAGAUCUUCUAUAAUAAUAGAUUAAACUGACUCACCAGCAGAUCCACCCUCAACACUGUGGAGAUCAUAACCCACUUAGCAAUAAACACCACCUACCUGAAGAGGCUUCUAGGUAGUCUGUUAAAUGGGAGUUUACCUUUCCUUGUCAUCUGUGUUCUCUCUACCUAUUGUUUACAGGCAAGCUCUACAAAUUGAAUCCUUCAAUAGUACCAAAAAAGGAACAGAAUUGAAGUUUUAAAAUAAAAUAAAACUCUUCUCUUUAUCUUCACAAUGCCUUCUUUUCUAAAGUAUUCUCAAUUUAGACUCUAAAAAGUCAGCCUAGGUCUUAAAGUUGAUAUUGAUUUACUCUCUAUAGCAUUGUCUCCAUCAUCCCUCACAUGAACAAUUUCAGGGUUUAGCCUUUGCAGUUAAAAACUACAGGGUAACAUCAUGUAUGACUGAUUAAAAUGUAAAUUACUUUAAUAAUUUAUUAAAAUUAUAUUAUUUUAUAUUAUCAUCAUACCAUUAUUUGUUAUCUGUGUCUACAUUUCCUUUACAGUGAAAAGUGAUAAUAAAAAGCUCCAGUUUGUUUUAGUUAGUUAACGAAUGAAAUCCGUGACAUGCUUUUUAAAAAACUACUUGGCAUACAGUAAGCUUUCCAAAAAACAUUAUCUCAUCAUUGUCAUCAUUAUGUACGCAGUUAAAAUUUAGUGUAAAUCUCUACAUAUAAAUCAGUUCCACCACCAUCAUUUAUAAUACACACAAUUCAUGAGUUCGUAUUUGGGUCAAUCAAAAUUUGGAAAAAAAAAAGUGUCCCUAUUAGAUAAUCUUCAAGAACCACAUGAAAACUACUCCAUUUCUGAUGUUAGAAUACCCAAAGUUCUGUCAUUUUGACUGAAAACAUUAUUUGGAAAAAAUAAUCCUAUUCAAAUUUUGAAAAACUCAGAAGCUCGAAUAUGCAAAUUUAAGUCCAAAUAUUAAUAUGACAUUCUUAUUAGCCCUUCAUUUGUAUAGAUACAUACAUUUGCUAGUGAAUAUUUAUUGUAAAAUAAAAUGUAAUUAAAAUGAAAUAAAACAUAAGAUAUUCUAAUUAAUGAAAAAGAUUAUACAACACAAUUAUCAGCUCAACAAUAUAAAGUGUGCUUAAAUAUUAUCCUUAAAAUAAACUAUAUUGGGAAUACAGAGUGAGAUAAGCCAUGCUAGAUAUCAGAAUAAAACAUGGCUUCUAUUUUGAAACAUAAUCCUUCUAGAAUUUAAAAUUAAGUGAGAAAGUUAUGUUUAAGUUAUCAAAUACUCAGGUCUUUGCAGAAUAUAUCAUUCUGUAUAUAAGGGUUUUAACUAAUAUUACAGAUUUUAGAAACCCUUUUAUUAUUUAAUAUAUUGAAAACUAACUUAGACAACUACUGUUGAUCCAGUAAUUGCAUUAGUAAUCAGAUGAACAUUUCCUUGCUAAAUAGCUAGUGUGACCAGAAUAUUUUCUACUUCCUGAAUAUAUAUGUUCUUUCUCAUUUCCCAAUCUGGUUGCAAACAUCAGACUGUAAGAGUUUCAAAAAAUAAUCUGAGAAUAGAAGUCACACUCUAGAACCUUCUUCCUCUAGUGAUCAUGAAGGACAUCCUUUAGAAUGGACAAAAUACAAGAAAAUACUAGUCUGGAUAGCUAAAUCUCCAGCUGAAGUAGCUGCCUGAGAGUGAGCAUCUCCAUGUGUAACUGUGUGCCUGCUCUAUCUUGGCUAAUGAUGACGGGGCAUUGGGAUAACUUCAAUGAUGCCCAGAAAUAACUAAAGUUAAUUUUGUUUGCUCUCUUUAUGCCAGACUCAAAGCUCAGAACAAUUAUCACCAGAAGAACCCUUAAUGUACAUACCAAAAUGACUAUCAGUGGAAACAGUAGGGAAGACUUUUUGACCUCCACUCUCUUUGGGUUUCUUUUUAGCUGACAUAUGACAGAUUAACAGAGAGAAGCACACAAAUGUAUUUAAUGUAAGUUUAAUUUGACAUGGAGCUCUCAGAAAGAAACAAAGAUCCCAAGAAGCUGUUAGAGUUGAACACAUACAUUGAGUUGUACCAAAAAUAGUAAAUAAUGAAAUAAAACAAGGGGACUUUGGUAAGGUAGUUGAUUGUUGAAAAGUGACUAGAAAAAGAAGGGCUAGUGACAGAUAUUUUGUACACAUUUAUCCAGCUUCAACUCCCCAUCUCUGGUAAGGAGACUAUUUUUCUUCCUCCAGGUAGAGAGAAGUCACCUUCCUCAGGGAUAUUUCAGAACCUGCUUUUAAGAUCAGAGUGCACUUCCUGCAUCAUCUCUAUUGUUUAAUUGUCUUUCUGAAUUCUGAAUACCUUCAACUCCAAAGCAGUCAGCAGUGCAUAGUCAAUGUGAAGCAUCUAAGACUACAGUUUGAACAUUCCUAAUCCAAAUAUCUGAAAUCAAAAAUGCUCCAAAAUCCAAAACAUUUUGAGCACCAACAUGCUGCCACAAUGGAAAAAUUCUACAAUUUGCCUAAUGUGAUGAGUCACAGUAAAAAUGCAGGCAUACGAAAAAUAUCAUAAAAUUACCUUCAGGUUAUGUUUAUAAGUUAUGCAUAAAAUGUAAAUGAAUUUCAUGUUUAGACUUGGAUCCCAUUUUCAAGAUGCCUCUUUACACAUACAUACACACGUAUUCCAAAAUUUUUAAAAAGUAAAAUCUAAAGUGCUUCUGGUCCUAAGCAUUUUAAA